rnacentral:rRNA from 1 species
UACGAAGGGGGCUAGCGUUGCUCGGAAUCACUGGGCGUAAAGCGCACGUAGGCGGUUUCUUAAGUCAGGGGUGAAAUCCUGGAGCUCAACUCCAGAACUGCCUUUGAUACUGGAGGAUCGUGAGUUCGGGAGAGGUGAGUGGAACUGCGAGUGUAGAGGUGAAAUUCGUAGAUAUUCGCAAGAACACCAGUGGCGAAGGCGGCUCACUGGCCCGUAUAGUGACGCUGAGUACGCGAAAGCGUGGGGAGCAAACAGGAUUAGAUCAUCCUAGUACGUCGA